UUUACAGGUCAACAACAUGCUACCAGAGAUCGAACACCGGACUGAUUCUCUCCAGUGAUUGGAUACUCCUCGACGGGGGACGAUCCUUGAGGCCGCGGUCGCUCUCUCUCUGUGAACUGAGAUGGCUCGUCACAUGUCUGCGUGGACAAGAAGCCUCUGCUUCAAACACACAGCGGGAGGGAAACAGAGCUGCCUGACAACGUCGAUGAUGACAUCUUCAAACACUCCCUCUGCGCUCUGCAGACACACCCAGCGCUCACUGCAGCUUCCAGCAUUUGACGUGUUAAAGAGGUGGACUUGAGGCUGGAAGGUUGCUGGUACAAAUCCCCGCUCAGACAGUGUCUCAACUUCUCCACACGAAUCCCGACUGAUCAUUGAACACACCUGAGCCACCGCGGACACGGAUUUGGUCACAUCCCCUCUGCUUCUUCAGUUUCCUCAAGCUCCACCUCCACCUCCACCAGAGCCACCUCUACCUCCGACACCCGUCAGCUCUCAUUGUCAGAGAUGCAGCUUGGACGACAGACAAAAAAAACACCAAUCAUCUGACUGACUGGCAGAGUUUCAGGCAUCAACAGAAGAACUGUCUCAGACUUCUAAGAAAAUCUGAUUUCUACUUGUCCUCACUUGUAAAUACCUCUCUCUGGCAAUGCGUCGCAGUUUUGGAAAAUAAUCAAAUCCUUAAAAACAAAAUUCCCCUUCUUAAAUUUGAACUACAUUUUAUCCAGCUCUGGAAACUACAAACUGCUCCUGAUUUUCUCUUUAUCAUCACACACACAUUUCACAGUUUAGCCGCUGACCUCAAGGAUGAAAUUAAUUUAAUCCAAAUAUUAUAUAAAGCUGCGUGUCAAAUAAUAGGUUUUAUAGUAUAUAACAUUAUUAUGCCUGACUGAAAGCUGUAACUAAUGUGUGUAAUCAAUGUAAUUACAGUAUACAGCUCUCUCAUGUGAUUACCACAUGAUGCUCCUCCUCCAUACACGUUGGUGGAAAAGCACAUCUGCCACAUGCAUGUGUCUCAUCUGCAUGCGGCCGGUGGCUAAUGACUGUGACUAAUAGCUUCUACUCUGCCUUUAAUUACCUACAUUUAUAAUUAAUUUGAAGAAAAUUAGAUUGAGCCCUGCAGGCAGCGCAGCCAUGUGGUACGCUGUCACUCUUGUUUGAGGACUCACUGUUAUCAUUUAUUAUCAACAUCUUCAGUAAUGUCAUCAUGUGGAAUUCAUAUUGUUGUUUUUCAUGACACACGUUGAAGAACAUCUCCAUGACAGACAUUUUGAUAAUAGAUAUUAAUGGUUUACGUAAUUUAUGAAUGAAUAAUGCUCCAUAAAUUUGAGUAUUUGCUGCUUUAAUCUGGUUUAUAUCAUUAUAAACUUUUGGACUACAAGCCUACAAGGGGGCAUAACGUCCCCCUAGGCUUUGGGAAAUUGUGAUGGGCAUUUUUUUUUUUACUACUUUCAGACAUUUUAUAAACUAAAUGAUUAAUCAAAAAAGCAUUUCAGUUCUUGAAAUGUGUUGGAAACAUGUUGGAGACUGAUGUUUUUCACCUAACAACCUCACUAUUAAUCAGGGUUUAUAGUAGUUUAUUUGGUUUAUAUUCACUUACCUCAAACGACAUGUAUUGUUUGUACAUGGUAAAGUUUAUCAGCCUAUUUUAUCUGUAGUUUGGGAUUUAUCCUCUAAUUAUUAUUACUGUCAAUGUGUAUUUUAUUUAUUACUAUUUAUUUUUAUUUUUAUUUAUUUUAUUUAUUUUAUUUAUUUUAUUUAUUU